GCGCCGAAUGCCGAAGUGGUCGAGGCGGCGGAUUGCAAACCCGCUCUUAUCCGGUUCGAGUCCGGAUUGGCGCUCCA
rnacentral:tRNA from 1 species